GAUGAACGCUGGCGGCGUGCCUAAUACAUGCAAGUCGAGCGAACAGACGAGGAGCUUGCUCCUCUGACGUUAGCGGCGGACGGGUGAGUAACACGUGGAUAACCUACCUAUAAGACUGGGAUAACUUCGGGAAACCGGAGCUAAUACCGGAUAAUAUAUUGAACCGCAUGGUUCAAUAGUGAAAGACGGUUUUGCUGUCACUUAUAGAUGGAUCCGCGCCGCAUUAGCUAGUUGGUAAGGUAACGGCUUACCAAGGCAACGAUGCGUAGCCGACCUGAGAGGGGGAUCGGCCACACUGGAACUGAGACACGGUCCAGACUCCCACGGGAGGCAGCAGUAGGGAAUCUUCCGCAAUGGGCGAAAGCCUGACGGAGCAACGCCGGGGGAGUGAUGAAGGUUUUCGGAUCGUAAAACUCUUUUAUUAGGGAAGAACAAAUGUGAAAGUAACUAUGCACGUUUUGACGGUACCUAAUCAGAAACCCCCGGCUAACUACGU
rnacentral:rRNA from 1 species